AUCGUCAUAGUUUAAACAAAAACAUUGAAUUGUGAUUUCAAAAUUUAAGAUGAUAA
rnacentral:tRNA from 1 species